UGGGGAAUCUUCCGCAAUGGGCGCAAGCCUGACGGAGCAACGCCGCGUGAGUGAAGAAGGCCUUCGGGUCGUAAAGCUCUGUCCUCAAGGAGGAUAAUGACGGUACCUAACCAGAAAGCCACGGCUAACUACGUGCCAGCAGCCGCGGUAAUACGUAGGUGGCAAGCGUUGUCCGGAAUUAUUGGGCGUAAAGGGCUCGCAGGCGGUUUCUUAAGUCUGAUGUGAAAGCCCCCGGCUCAACCGGGGAGGGUCAUUGGAAACUGGGGAACUUGAGUGCAGAAGAGGAGAGUGGAAUUCCACGUGUAGCGGUGAAAUGCGUAGAGAUGUGGAGGAACACCAGUGGCGAAGGCGACUCUCUGGUCUGUAACUGACGCUGAGACGCGAAAGCGUGGGGAGCAAACA
rnacentral:rRNA from 1 species